UCUGUAUUGUUGCCUGUCACUUCUUUUCUUUGGUAUAAAAAAAUGAAACCAAAAUAAGUAGGGUAUAAGGUGGUCAGGUAGGGUAUAGGGUGGUCAGGUAGGGUAUAAGGUGGUCAGGUAGGGUAUAGGGUGGUCAGGUAGGGUAUAAGGUGGUCAGGUAGGGUAUAGGGUGGUCAGGUAGGGUGGAGGGUGGUCAGGUAGGGUGGAGGGUGGUCAGGUAGGGUGGAGGGUGGUCAGGUAGGGUGGAGGGUGGUCAGGUAGGGUAUAAGGUGGUCAGGUAGGGUGGAGGGUGGUCAGGUAGGGUGGAGGGUGGUCAGGUAGGGUGGAGGGGGUCAGGUAGGUUGGAGGGUGGUCAGGUAGGUUGGAGGGUGGUCAGGUAGGGUGGAGGGUGGUCAGGUAGGGUGGAGGGUGGUCAGGUAGGGUAUAAGGUGGUCAGGUAGGGUGGAGGGUGGUCAGGUAGGGUGGAGGGUGGUUAGGUAGGGUGGAGGGUGGUCAGGUAGGGUGGAGGGUGGUCAGGUAGGGUGGAGGGUGGUCAGGUAGGGUGGAGGGUGGUCAGGUAGGGUAUAAGGUGGUCAGGUAGGGUGGAGGGUGGUCGGGUAGGGUGGAGGGUGGUCAGGUAAGGUGGAGGGUGGUCAGGUAGGGUGGAGGGUGGUCAGGUAGGGUGGAGGGUGGUCAAAUAGCGUGGAGGGUGGUCAGGUAGGGUGGAGGGUGGUCAGGUAGGGUGGAGGGUGGUCAGGUAGGGUAUAAGGUGGUCAGGUAGGGUGGAGGGUGGUCAGGUAGGGUGGAGGGUGGUCAGGUAGGGUAUAAGGUGGUCAGGUAGGGUGGAGGGUGGUCAGGUAGGGUGGAGGGUGGUUAGGUAGGGUGGAGGGUGGUCAGGUAGGGUGGAGGGUGGUCAGGUAGGGUGGAGGGGAGUCAGGUAGGGUAUAAGGUGGUCUGGUAGGGUGGUCAGGUAGGGUGGAGGGUGGUCAGGUAGGGUGGAGGGUGGUCAGGUAAGGUGGAGGGUGGUCAGGUAGGGUGGAGGGUGGUCAGGUAGGGUGGAGGGUGGUCAGGUAGGGUGGAGGGUGGUCAGGUAGGGUGGAGGGUGGUCAGGUAGGGUAUAAGGUGGUCAGGUAGGGUGGAGGGUGGUCAGGUAGGGUGGAGGGUGGUUAGGUAGGGUGGAGGGUGGUCAGGUAAGGUGGAGGGUGGUCAGGUAGGGUGGAGGGUGGUCAGGUAGGGUGGAGGGUGGUCAGGUAGGGUGGAGGGUGGUCAGGUAGGGUGGAGGGUGGUUAGGUAGGGUGGAGGGUGGUCAGGUAGGUUGGAGGGUGGUCAGGUAGGGUGGAGGAUGACCUGCCCCAGCUCAACACUGUUUUUGUAUAUCUGCAGUACAUUUCUACUCUAGCUUUAGUCCUCAUCCAUUGUUGAUCAGCAGGGGCUGAAGUUAUGCAUGUUGAUCAGUAGGGCUGAAGAUAUGCAUGUUGAUCAGUAGGGGCUGAAGGUAUUCAUGUUGAUCAGUAGGGGCUGAAGGUAUUCAUGUUGAUCAGUAGGGGCUGAAGGUAUGCAUGUUGAUCAGUAGGGGCUGAAGGUAUGCAUGUUGAUCAGUAGGGCUGAAGGUAUGCAUGUUGAUCAGUAGGGCUGAAGGUAUGCAUGUUGAUCAGCAGGGGCUGAAGGUAUGCAUGUUGAUCAGCAGGGGCUGAAGGUAUGCAUGUUGAUCAGCAGGGGCUGAAGGUAUGCAUGUUGAUCAGCAGGGGCUGAAGGUAUGCAUGUUGAUCAGCAGGGGCUGAAGGUAUGCAUGUUGAUCAGCAGGGGCUGAAGGU